rnacentral:rRNA from 1 species
GAUGAACGCUGGCGGCGUGCCUAAUACAUGCAAGUCGAGCGAACAGACGAGGAGCUUGCUCCUCUGACGUUAGCGGCGGACGGGUGAGUAACACGUGGAUAACCUACCUAUAAUACUGGGAUAACUUCGGGAAACCGGAGCUAAUACCGGAUAAUAUAUUGAACCGCAUGGUUCAAUAGUGAAAGACGGUUUUGCUGUCACUUAUAGAUGGAUCCGCGCCGCAUUAGCUAGUUGGUAAGGUAACGGCUUACCAAGGCAACGAUGCGUAGCCGACCUGAGAGGGUGAUCGGCCACACUAGAACUGAGACACGGUCCAGACUCCUACGGGAGGCAGCAGUAGGGAAUCUUCCGCAAUGGGCGAAAGCCUGACGGAGCAACGCCGCGUGAGUGAUGAAGGUCUUCGGAUCGUAAAACUCUGUUAUUAGGGAAGAACAAAUGUGUAAGUAACUAUGCACGUCUUGACGGUACCUAAUCAGAAAGCCACGGCUAACUACGUG